GUGAGGAAUAUUGGGCAAUGGAGGCAACUCUGACCCAGCCAUGCCGCGUGCAGGAAGACKGCCCUAUGGGUUGUAAACUGCUUUUAUACAGGAAGAAACUUAUCCACGUGUGGAUAACUGACGGUACUGUAAGAAUAAGGACCGGCUAACUCCGUGCCAGCAGCCGCGGUAAUACGGAGGGUCCAAGCGUUAUCCGGAAUCAUUGGGGUUAAAGGGUCCGUAGGCGGGCAAUUAAGUCAGAGGUGAAAUCCCACAGCUCAACUGUGGAACUGCCUUUGAUACUGGUUGUCUUGAGUUACAGUGAAGUAGAUAGAAUAUGUAGUGUAGCGGUGAAAUGCAUAGAUAUUACAUAGAAUACCGAUUGCGAAGGCAGUCUACUAACUGUAUACUGACBCUAAUGGACGAAAGCGUGGGGAGCGAACAGGAUUAGAUACCCUGGUAGUCCACGCCGUAAACGAUGGUCACUAGUUGUUGGGGUCUUGUACCUCAGUGAUUAABAAAAUUGAUAANUGACCCACCUGGGG
rnacentral:rRNA from 1 species